ensembl:snoRNA
GGCUGUGAAAUUGAUGAGCUUUUUCAUGUCUCUUCUCUGAACAAAAACUGAAGAGCCUGUUACUAUCUCUGAUUUCAGCG